UGUUUUGGGGGACUUAUAUGAGGUUGCCUCUAUUCUAGAAAGAAACCGAAUAGGAGGAGGACACCGAGAAAUAAACAAGGAUAGAAAAAAAAAAGUCCUUUGCCUUACUGGCGUUUUUGUGCAUGUGAUUUACUAAAAGCUAAGAAAAAUCCUAUCUUGGAUCAAUCGAAGGGAAGAAAAGGAAAAAAAAAUCUGAGAUGGGUUUCAUGGAAUACGUGAAAUCAAUAGAAUGGGAACAUGAAUCUUAUCCAGGUUAUGAAGAUUGCAUUGUCCUUCCUCUUUUUGCUCUCUUUUUCCCCUUUGUUCGAUUCUUUCUUGACAGAUUUGUCUUCCAGAAAGUAGCACAAGACUUGAUUUUUGGAAAGGAGCAUCAGACGCUGGAUGUUCAAUCAGAUGAGAGAAGGAAGAAGAUAAGAAAAUUCAAGGAGUCAGCUUGGAAAUGCAUAUAUUUUCUUUCAUCUGAAAUUCUUGUUUUGUGUGUUACUUAUGAUGAGCCUUGGUUAGUUAAUACAAAAUAUUUUUGGGUAGGGCCAGGAAGCCAGGCCUGGCCAGACCAAAAAAUGAAGUUAAAAUUGAAAGCAGUAUAUAUGUAUGCUGCUGGAUUUUAUACUUACUCCAUAUUUGCUCUGAUUUUUUGGGAGACAAGGCGCUCGGAUUUUGGUGUGUCUAUGAGUCAUCAUGUCGCCACUGUCAUUCUUAUUGUGCUGUCCUACAUAUUAAGGUUUGGCCGUGUUGGCUCAGUUGUUUUAGCUAUUCAUGAUGCUAGUGAUGUAUUUUUGGAGGUGGGAAAGAUGUCCAAAUACAGCGGCGCAGAAGGGGUUGCUAGCUUUGCAUUUAUUCUUUUUGUUUUGUCUUGGAUCUUGCUGCGGCUCAUUUACUAUCCAUUCUGGGUGCUUUGGAGUACAAGCUAUGAAGUUCUCCUGAUCUUGGACAAGGAAAAACACCCGGUGGAUGGUCCAAUCUAUUAUUAUGUGUUCAAUACUCUCCUUUACUGCUUACUUUUUCUUCAUGUAUAUUGGUGGGUCUUGAUAUAUCAGAUGCUUGCUAAGCAAAUCCAAGCAAGGGGUCAUCUUAGUGAUGAUGUUCGAUCUGGUAUGGAAGAAAAACAUGUCGAUUGCAUGGUUUUGUAUUAUAAUGUGUGUAUGUCUAUAGUUGCACCAUAAAAAUGGGAAUGAGGAAACACAUUUAAUGUAAUUUUUUGGCGAGGAAUAUAUUAUCCAGCAUGAGAAUUUGGCCAAGAAAAUUCAGAGCCCAUGUCACUAAUCAAUGAUGUGUAGGACUUUGCAAAUCAUUUUAGGAUGACCUAUUUUAAGGAAAUUUUUUAUUUUACUUUUCUACUUGGCCUCUUUAUUUUGGUGGUUUGUCUUGAAUUGCUUCUCCCACCAUCAUGCAGAUUCUGAGGGCGAAGAUGAACAUGAAGAUUGAUCAAACAGUAAACCAGUGAUACUUAGAAAUAGUCUGAUGAAGCACAACCGUGGUUUCAUAUGCUGGAGUUCUUUUCCAGAGAUGGAACGUGAUAAAUAAAAAAUUUCUCCCAAUCAAGGGUCUGUAUAGAUUUGAGAUUAGAUGUCAAAGCAGAAGGGAAAUAUAGGGUAGGAAAAUAGUUUCGAUUAUUCAUUUGCCACCUCUGAUUUGAUUUUUCUCGCCAAUGAUUUAUUGUAAGAGAACUUGCUGCAAUUUCAUACCGGUGGUGCCAUGGCUGCAAGACUCGAGCCUGCUGCCAUUUUUCAA